AACAAUAAACAAUACUGCGUCAUGUCGCCAUUACACAGACGUGACUACUCAUAUCAGGACAAACCGGAAUUACAAUUGUAUCAAGCAAAUACCUCCGCGUGUUGUCUUAAUCACUAAUUGUAUACCUUAGAACAAUGUCGUUUGUCAACAGGUAAAACCCAAUCACAGGUAAACAGCAGCUAUAGGCACAUUGGAGUGAGUGAGAAGGCGGGGUGAUCAAAAGUCGGAAAUCCAUCGAUUGGAAGAUAGUGUUUAUGUGUACACGUUGAAUAGAUUUGUCAACAGAAAUAUAUACUAUAAAUUGAGAAGAAAAUGUCGAAGAAGGAAAGGAAAAGGGUUUUGGCAGAAAUUUGGGGAACACCAACCGCCCGUGACAUUGACUUCUUUGAUGAAGGAAACGAGAUCGUUGUGACAUCGUCACAUCGGGAAAUCGCAGCAUGGUGGAUCGACAUCUUCCAAGUUGUCUAUCCCGACGUCACAUGUUCCGAGAAAAGAGACAUUAUCAAACUGAAACCGGUACAUGGAGUCAGCUUAAAGUUGAACAAGGCAAAUGGUAUUUUGAAAGUCACCGGCAAGAACCACUGGAAUUGGUUCAUUGAGAACUUCAACAGUCUUCUUGAACAUGGCAACGACAACGUGGAAAUGUUAACUGAAGCGUCGGAGAGUUCCGUCACACGAUUCCUCCAGCUCAAUAAAGAUGACGAAGAGGUACAAGAUUUGUUGGAUAUGAUCCCCGAGGGUGGAGGAAUUAUGGGGCAUGACUUCAUCAUGCGUGUAUGGAAAAGUCUGAUCGACGACUGGUGUGGGGUUGGAGCCUGUGUUUACGUGGUUACGCCCAAGAUAGACUCCGAACGCCUUUUGCAAGUCAUGUUAUUGAUGAUACGCAACAAGGGAACAGGGUUCAAGGUCACCCUUGUUACCCCGACAAAGUCAGAUGGGGAGAAGUUUUCCAAUGUGAUGGACAAAACCAAACGGAGAAUGAAAGAAGUGAAGACGGGCCGUGGCACACGGUUGCUCUCCGAUGUCAAAAUGGAGUGGGUUGAGAACAGUCUUGAAGUGCGACAUGAGGAUUUUUCCACAAACUUUAUCGCAGCAUAUAAGGACAGUGAGGCUGAGGUCUUGACUACCACUGCACAUUUCCAUAAGAGUCAUUUCCAUUUCAACCAGAAAGACAAUGUCUGCUACAACCGACUCCCAACGUCAGACCUGAAACGUAAUUAUCUCUUUCCGCUGGGGAUUGGGAAUAACAUAUUUUGAAGUGUCAGUGACAAAAGCAGUGAGCCUGUGUUGUCCCAAGGAUGUGAGUGAUUGUCUCUGUGUCGAACUUACACUGCAAAGUGCCAUAUGGAACUAUUCCUUGAGAUGACGUGAAGAUGGAGCAAUACCUCAUGGUCAUGAAGUACUGACAUUUAUGCAAUGGCAAAUAUACCUGUUUAUUGCAUGUGAUUGUUUUAAACUUAACAAAUGUGUGAAUAGGACAGAUUUUGAGUGUGAGGAAUCAUUGACUCAAGUUUAGUUCUUUCGAAAUAUUCAACUUUUCAUUUCAGAGGUUUUUUGCCCAAUUGCGAUAUUGUGUUUUUUGCUUACUCGUCAUGCUCAUGAUGCUGUUAGUGUUAUGUUGUUGGGAUCCUUGAUUUUUGUUAUAUACUACUCAGAGGAAGUUAAAGAAUACCCAAUUUUUCUUAUGACUGUUGCAACACACAGCCUUCCAAUUGUGGGUGCUCUUUAAUUUGUUUAAAGUAGUAUAUAUUUCCACUCAACUUUUGGUAUAGUUAUUCUGAGUGUAUAGCAUGUCCCGUUUGGAACACAAAUGGCAUUCAAUAUUGCUGUGGAAGUGGCUGAUUGUCUGCUUCAUUUGACGUUAUCCGAAAUGAAAACACAUAUUGGUUUAGCUGCCCUGAAGACUACCAGUAGUAUGAGACUUCUCAGUAUCCCUAUCAGAAGUUGAGUAGUGUAAUCCUUAACACAACGUGUUUGAAAUGUUUAUCGUAUUGUACAAUAUUACCCUUUUGUUCAAAUAUGAUUUUGUGAAAGCCAGUUCUUGAAUUUGACAGCAAUAAACAAUACCUCUAAGCAUGCUCAGUCUCAAGCUAACGAUACAGAGUCUGAAGGAAUCAUGACUGACAAGGGAUCAAUAAGCUUUACUGUUGGUUUGUUUGUUUAACACUGCACUCAGCACUAUUCCAGCUGAAUGAAUGGGGGUCUGAAAAUAAUCAAGUCUAGACCAGACAAUCCAGUAUGCAAUUGGGACACGAUGACAUGCAUCAACCACUUAAAUGAACUUGACCACCUAAUCCCAUUAGCAUGGUUAGUCGCCUCUUGCAACAAGUAUAGUCACCUUCUAUGACAUAAUGGGAUAUCCUCAGAUCUUUCAGUGAGAUUGACUAUGACUUUGUUAAUUGCUUGAUGGCAGCGAUCUUUUCACUCUUUUACAAAUUAAAACUUGUCUCCAUCAUAUGAAAAACAGUUUAUUCUUAUUCUGCAGUAAAUAUGUUAUGUCGCCACUUAUGACAGCACCCAGAUUUAAGCAUGCUAAAUCCAACAUGGUUAGCAUACUUGCUAUUAGGGAUGUAACAGUGCCCCUUGUGUUGCAAAGGCGAGUAUGUUUGUUGUAAAAGGUGACUAUCGGGAUUGGGUGGUCAGGCUUGCUGACUUGGUUGAUGCAUGUCAUCGAUCCUACUUGUGUGGAUCGAUGUUCAUGAUGUCGAUCACUGGAUUGUCUGGUCCAGACGCGAUUAUUUACAGACUGCCGUCAUAUAGCUGGAAUAUUGCAACAAACAAACCAAACUUGUAUUGCAUGACUCAACAUCCAUCACCUGUUGUAUUGCAUCAUGGGAAUGUGGCACAGGUUGCACAGUCGUAAAACCUGGGGGUGUCAUUGAUUGGAAUUUUUAGUAUUGAUUUAUCCACAUAAAAGUAUCACAAUAUAUCUAUAUAUUGAUUAGGAAUAAUAUUAAUUAUUCUGUAUAUGUAUGAAUAAACAUUACCUGCAUUGACCUUCAAUUAAUCGAUUUAAAGUUAAAAACAAACUAGGCUGAUCAAUCAUGUCAAUUAGACAUUUAAAGUUGAACUUUCUGCCUUCUCAUUGUCCAUCUUGACCAUAGUAACCUUAAGGAAUAAUGACAUUUCUGUGGCAGUAAAUUUGUAUCAUUGACAUAAAAUAUUACUGAUAGUACAUUGAUAUCUCGAUGUAUAAUCACAUCCCAGAAGGUGGCAUAAUUCACUGAGUUGUGUCCCUUAGGCAUGCCAGAAACCUAUUACAUGUAUCAUGGGUUUGAAUCCAGAUUUGCCCGGAUUAUGUUUCUAGGUUUGUCAGAAUCAUAACAAUGCUUGUGGGAUUACCCAAGUUGUAAACAUCUAAGACCCACAUUACUUAGAGAUUUCCUCCCACAUGACACUCUGUAAUAUAACUAGGGGCGGUGGGGAGGCCUAGUGGUUAAAACGUUCGCUCGUCACGCAGAAGGCCAGGGUUCGAUUACUCUUCAGGUAGUGGAGUUACACAUAUUCAAGUACUCCAAUAACGUAUCCAGUGGCAUUAUCAUCAUCACCAUGGUUACACAUGUGAGAGUGCUUUUUACAACCAUAAACAGAGAUUGCAUCAUGGUUGUAGCGUUUUCCUUUGAUCUCACCUCUAGACAUGUUGAAAGGACCUUAGAAGGCGGAACCCUUCUGUGAACAGCAUGUAUACUUUUUUCAGUUCAGCAUUCGUUUGCUUUAAAAUAUGUGACAUAGGACCUGUGAAACACAGCCACCAUCACCACCAGCACGGUAACCAGUACCAGGAUGCAUGUUCCAUAUUGAAUGGCGGGACCAGUGUAACAUGGAAUAUUUUGAGAAGUGGUGAUAGCAGAGGAGUUGCUUCUCUGAAAAUAUCAUCCAUUAGCUGUGUGCAGACAUUCAAUAAAUGUGGCUGAUUUUCUUUUCAACUAAAAAUAUAUUCCAUGAAUAUGUGUGAUAAGGACAUUUUGGGUGCCUAGGUGGGUACUGAAUAUGACUUGGUUGGGAGUUAUCAUACAAAUAGUAUUCUAAAUUCCUUUGAGCUUUGUCAUAUUUUUUAGAUUCAUUUCAAGAUCUUUCAAUUUAUUAUAUAUGCUGGUACAUAUUUCCAUUAUCUAUGAAUUAUCUUGUCAAAAGUGGAGUUGUAUAACAAGGCUUAUAGGAGCCUCAACAUGCUCAAGGUCUGUGAGAAUUCACACUGGUGUCAAUUGAUUGUGAUAUGAUUUGCUUUGAGGGGCUAUAAAUCUAUGAUUGUUUUUUAUAUUGUGUUUAUUACAUAUCAUUAACAAUGUACUGAUCACAGGGUAACAAUGUGACAGAAUGGCCCAGAAAUAAGGUCAAUAUUUAUGUAGCAAAUUUAAUAGAAUAUUAUAUUUGUGUGAUAUUUAUGUAUAGCAUUCACGACUUUUGAUUUAAGUCAAUGCAAUAGUGUUAGGUGAGCCAAUUAUGAGAAAUAAAUAAGUGAUUUUAGCAUCUUUACAAGCAACCAUUAUCUUGUUUGUCAAAGGAUGGACGACGACAAUUAUAUCAUCUUACACGUAAAAUGCUUGAAUUUUAUUGGUCAAUAACGUGUAUAACUAGAAAUAAUAUACCCUGCCGUCAUGGCAACAUACAUUUUCGUUAUCUCUCCUAAUAGAGAAAUAGAGAUAACGGGAUCGCGUGGUCAGGCUCGCUGACUUGGUUGGUGCAUGUCAUCGAUCCCAAUUGUGUGGAUCGAUGCUCUUGAUGUCAAUCACUGGAUUGUCUGGUCCAGACUCGAUUCUUUACAGACCGCCUUCAUAUAGCUGGAAUAUUGCUGAGUGCGGCGUUAAACAACAAACAAAUAAUAGAGAAAUGUUGUCACGUAAUGUACAGUGUAUAAACAUAGGCUUUGAAGUAUGUGUCUACUGGAGGUCACCUGCAGAUGUGGCAACAAACAUUUCGCAUUCCAAUCAUCUUUUGUUUUCAAAUUGUGGUAUAUGAUAAACAUGGGGGGUUAAAAAAAAUGACUGUGUCAUAGCAACCUUAUGAGAGGUGAAACGUUCAAGUGAGACCUGCUGAGAGGUUUUUCAUUUGAAUUGUAAGACCUGCUUGGAGGUACUUGGUAUCUGCAGACUUUUCCCUCGCUUACCACGGGCAGAUCCAGAUAUGGGUCAGUACUCCCCCCACCCACCCACUCCUUUUGAAGACCAAAUGUAUGUUGUAAUCAGUAAAAUUAUCUAAGAGAGGGUUUUGAUAAUUUGGACCCCUCCCUUUUAUAAAUGCUGGAUCUACCCAUGCUCGAGGCUUUACAUUUUCCACCAAAACCUUGGAGUUGUUUUUAUCUAUAGCAACUAAACAGUUGUGAUUAAUGCCUUCAGUUGUUGUUUACCUUCGUUUUGAGAAAUGGUUUCAGAUUACUGGUUCUAUUAAGCUGUGAUGUAACACUUACAGUUUGACUUGUACAUAUGUGAUUGAUACUUAUAUUUCCUUUGUUAAAUAAAUUACAUCAAACAAUA
rnacentral:misc_RNA from 1 species